rnacentral:rRNA from 1 species
CCUACGGGUGGCAGCAGUAGGGAAUAUUGCUCAAUGGAGGCAACCCUGAAGCAGCAACGCCGCGUGCAGGAUGAAGGCUUUCGGAUUGUAAACUCCUUUUUGUACAGAAGAUAACGACGAUACCUGCAAAGGAAGCACCGGCUAACUCCGUGCCAGCAGCCGCGGUAAUACGGAGGGUGCGAGCGUUAAACGGAAUUACUAGGCGUAAAGCGCUCGUAGGCGGUUGGACAAGUCAAGGGUGAAAUCCCCGCGCUCAACGUGGGAACUGCCUGUGAAACUGGCAAACUGGAGUGUGUUAGAGGUAAGUGGAAUUUCAGGUGUAGGAGUGAAAUGCGUAGAGAUCUGGAGGAACAUCAGUGGCGAAGGCGACUAUCUGGGACAUAACUGACGCUGAGGAGCGAAAGCGUGGGUAGCAAACAGGAUUAGAUACCCGAGUAGUC